UACGUAGGGUGCGAGCGUUGUCCGGAAUUAUUGGGCGUAAAGGGCUCGUAGGCGGUCUGUCGCGUCGGGAGUGAAAACUCAGGGCUUAACCCUGAGCCUGCUUCCGAUACGGGCAGACUAGAGGUAUGCAGGGGAGAACGGAAUUCCUGGUGUAGCGGUGGAGUGCGCAGAUAUCAGGAGGAACACCCGUGGCGAAGGCGGCUCUCUGGGACGGUACUGACACUGAGACGCGAAAGCGUGGGGAGCGAACAGG
rnacentral:rRNA from 1 species